rnacentral:rRNA from 1 species
UGUUAAGUGGAAAAGGAUGUGGGGUUGCACAGACAACUAGGAUGUUAGCUUAGAAGCAGCUAUUCAUUCAAAGAGUGCGUAAUAGCUCACUAGUCGAGUGACCCUGCGCCGAAAAUGUACCGGGGCUAAAACAAUUUACCGAAGCUGUGGAUACCUUUAUAGGUAUGGUAGGAGAGCGUUCUAUGUGUGAAGAAGGUAUACCGUGAGGAGUGCUGGAACGCAUAGAAGUGAGAAUGCCGGUAUGAGUAGCGAAAGACAGGUGAGAAUCCUGUCCACCGUAAGACUAAGGUUUCCAGGGGAAGGCUCGUCCGCCCUGGGUUAGUCGGGACCUAAGGAGAGACCGAAAGGUGUAUCCGAUGGACAACAGGUUGAUAUUCCUGUACUAGAGUAUGUAGUGAUGGAGGGACGCAGUAGGCUAACUAAAGCAGACGAAUGGAAGUGUCUGUCUAAGCAGUGAGGUGUGAAUUGAGUUAAAUGCUUAGUUCUAUAACAUUGAGCUGUGAUGGGGAGCGAAGUUUAGUAGCGAAGUUAGUGACGUCACACUGCCAAGAAAAGCUUCUAGCGUUUAAACAUACUCUACCCGUACCGCAAACCGACACAGGUAGUCGAGGCGAGUAGCCUCAGGUGAGCGAGAGAACUCUCGUUAAGGAACUCGGCAAAAUGACCCCGUAACUUCGGGAGAAGGGGUGCUGACUUUACGUCAGCCGCAGUGAAUAGGCCCAAGCAACUGUUUAUCAAAAACACAGCUCUCUGCUAAAUCGUAAGAUGAUGUAUAGGGGGUGACGCCUGCCCGGUGCUGGAAGGUUAAGAGGAGUGCUUAGCGUAAGCGAAGGUAUGAAUUGAAGCCCCAGUAAACGGCGGCCGUAACUAUAACGGUCCUAAGGUAGCGAAAUUCCUUGUCGGGUAAGUUCCGACCCGCACGAAAGGCGUAAUGAUUUGGGCACUGUCUCAACGAGAGACUCGGUGAAAUUUUAGUACCUGUGAAGAUGCAGGUUACCCGCGACAGGACGGAAAGACCCCAUGGAGCUUUAC